rnacentral:rRNA from 1 species
CGAACGCGGUUAUCCAGCAAUGGAUAACUGAGUGGCGAACGGGUGAGUAACACGUGGGUGACCUACCUUCGAGUGGGGGAUAACGUCCCGAAAGGGACGCUAAUACCGCAUAACAUCCUGCCUUUGAACAGGCGGAGAUCAAAGCCGGGGAUCGCAAGACCUGGCGCUUGAUGAGGGGCCCGCGUCCGAUUAGCUAGUUGGUGAGGUAAUGGCUCACCAAGGCAACGAUCGGUAGCCGGCCUGAGAGGGCGGACGGCCACACUGGGACUGAGACACGGCCCAGACUCCUACGGGAGGCAGCAGUGGGGAAUUGUUCGCAAUGGGCGCAAGCCUGACGACGCAACGCCGCGUGGAGGAUGAAGGUCUUCGGAUUGUAAACUCCUGUUGCCCGGGACGAAAAGCUCCGACCUAACACGUCGGAGUCUGACGGUACCGGGUGAGGAAGCCCCGGCUAACUCUGUGCCAGCAGCCGCGGUAAUACAGAGGGGGCAAGCGUUGUUCGGAAUUACUGGGCGUAAAGGGCGCGUAGGCGGCCUGCUAAGUCGAACGUGAAAUCCCUGGGCUCAACCCAGGAACUGCGUCCGAUACUGGUUGGCUUGAAUUCGGGAGAGGGAUGUGGAAUUCCAGGUGUAGCGGUGAAAUGCGUAGAUAUCUGGAGGAACACCGGUGGCGAAGGCGGCAUCCUGGACCG